rnacentral:rRNA from 1 species
GGCCUUGACAUACUAAGAACUUUCCAGAGAUGGAUUGGUGCCUUCGGGAACUUAGAUACAGGUGCUGCAUGGCUGCCGUCAGCUCGUGUCGUGAGAUGUUGGGUUAAGUCCCGCAACGAGCGCAACCCUUUUCCUUAUUUGCCAGCGGGUCAUGCCGGGAACUUUAAGGAUACUGCCAGUGACAAACUGGAGGAAGGCGGGGACGACGUCAAGUCAUCAUGGCCCUUACGGCCAGGGCUACACACGUGCUACAAUGGUCGGUACAAAGGGUUGCUACCUCGCGAGAGGAUGCUAAUCUCAAAAAGCCGAUCGUAGUCCGGAUCGCAGUCUGCAACUCGACUGCGUGAAGUCGGAAUCGCUAGUAAUCGCGGAUCAGAAUGCCGCGGUGAAUACGUUCCCGGGCCUUGUACACACCGCCCGUCACACCAUGGGAGUUUGUUGCACCAGAAGUAGGUAGUCUAACCGCAAGGAGGACGCUUACCACGGUGUGGCCGAUGACUGGGGUGAAGUCGUAACAAGGUAGGCGUAGAUGA